UUAGAGUUUGAUCCUGGCUCAGAACGAACGCUGGCGGUAUGCUUAACACAUGCAAGUCGAACGUGAAAGUGGACUUCGGUCCGCGAGUAAAGUGGCGCACGGGUGAGUAACACGUGGAUAAUCUACCCGAUGAUCUGGAAUAACACUUCGAAAGGGGUGCUAAUACCGGAUGAGCUCACGACGUCUUCGGACGACGUGGGAAAAGGGGGCUUCGGCUCCUGUCAUCGGAUGAGUCCGCGGCCCAUUAGCUAGUUGGUAGGGUAAAGGCCUACCAAGGCUACGAUGGUUAGCUGGUCUGAGAGGAUGAUCAGCCACACUGGAACUGAGACACGGUCCAGACUCCUACGGGAGGCAGCAGUGGGGAAUUUUGCGCAAUGGGCGAAGGCCUGACGCAGCAACGCCGCGUGAGUGAUGAAGGCUUUCGGGUCGUAAAGCUCUGUCGAGGGGAAAGAAGCGUAUUAGGGCUAAUAUCCCUGAUACUUGACGGUACCCCUAAAGGAAGCACCGGCUAACUCCGUGCCAGCAGCCGCGGUAAUAC
rnacentral:rRNA from 1 species